UGAAGGUAGGAAUUGUGUUUCAGAGUCUGGUGUGAGGACUGUGAUAAUUAAAGAAAUUGUUGAGGUGAAGAGUACUGAGGCUUCAUUUAAAUCAGAGUCUAUUGUGAGGAUUGUGAUGGUUAAAGAAAGUGAUGAGAAGAAGAGUGAUGAGGCUACAUUUAAAUCAGAGUCUGUUGUGAGGAUUGUGAUGGUUAAAGAAACUGAUGAGGAGAAGAGUGAUGAGGCUACUUUUAAAACCG